UACUAUUAUAGUCUGUCCCACCAAGUUACUGUAAGCACUUUUCGCAUAAAAUCUCAAAAUAUAUAAAUACCUUGGCUUUCAACCCAGUUCCGAUCGAUAGAUCAUUUUUUUUCCAACCUUCCGCCGUUUAUCCGAACCCUCGAGGUCAACCAGUGUAUACACACGGCGGCAAAUUCAAAGUCUACGGAGAUUUAACAUUGUCAAAAUGGCCACCACUUCGGAAGGGGAUCAUCCAUUGUUCGUAAUUUUCCGUACGUCGUCGUCAGUAAGGAAAUGACGUCACACACGUUCGGGAGUGCUCUAUGGUUAUCGACGUCCGAAAAACCUAUAACGCCCGAGACUUCCAAGUAUAUAUUUAUACUACAAGAAAUAUUACUUCUUCAACAAACUUUCAUACCCAGACUGAGACCCAAGGGACCAAAGAUUCAUAAAAGGGUUAGUCACUGCAUAAAGGCAAAGAGGAAUCUGAAUAGCUGCCUGGUGCAACUACAAGAUAGAAAAGCACAAACAUGUACAUUAUACAUGUUAAGCCAUAAGUACCUGCAGAUACAUAUAUAUUGAAGUUUUAGAACAUGGAACAUGAAAUUACAGAAAUUCCAGAUUUUUUCCAAACCUAAAAAACUGUAGGGUCAGGUGCGAAAAAUUAAGGAUAUUAGAACAAAAUAAGAAGAAUAAUUGUCAAGUGCCCACUGAUGCUGGAGUCCAUGCUGUAGAAAAGACAUGAAACAGAAGUGAGAAAAUGUCAACAUCAGUCAUCUAUGAAGAUGGAGAUUGCCUCUAUUCUAAAAUUUCUGAGGAAAAUGGUGUUGUCUGGCUCAUCCAAUGAUCACUCCAUUUGCAGAAUACCAGGUUUCAAUCUGAAGUAUACAUAGGAAGAGCAAAAUCUUUCUCAUUCAUAUACAAUGUAAACACUUACAACCUGUGAUCCAGAAAAAUGUCCUGAUUGUUUAGUCCAACAUAAAAUGGAUUUC